CUUUAAAUAAGCUAAGUCUAAGCUAGUGGGCUCAUAACCAAAUAUGGUAACUCCUUUAAAGA
rnacentral:tRNA from 1 species